ensembl:lncRNA
GUACUUUGACUGCCUAGCCUGUUCACUCAUGCUUGCAGUGUCAGUGGACGGGAACAAGAAGCUGUAUCGUUUCAAAAAAGGGACUGAUGACAAAGGAUUCUUUGAUGGCGUAUUUAUCUGCAAGGAUAAGGAUGUCUGACUUUGUGAACUAUGUCCAUACAAAGACUAAACAUGGUUAUGGAAAAGGGGUAUGUGGAGCAUCCCAGUGGACAGCAGCUAAAGAGUCGUCAAGGAAAACAAACGACAACCUUGAUGAAGAGGGACUUGAAGUUGCCAUCUGCCGCCAUGGAAUACUUCUAAGGAGCCUCAACAUGAUGCGUGGAGAGAUAUUUGCAUACCCACUGUUCUUGCAGAAGGAAUUGUCUGGUAGCAGGAACAUACAAUUCAUGUGUACAGAUGUGAUCUGCAAAUUUUGGCCAUAACUGACCAGGGUUGCUCUUCAUUGUCCAGAGCUCGCCACUCGUCUAGACAUGAAGCCACUUCUUUCUGUCUGUCGUGCAUGCUAGAUUAAGUGGGGAGGACGGAAUCGGCAAGGAGCUGGCACAACUCUGGCGGAGGAAGUGAAACAAGGGAACAGCUUCUUGUCGAGGGCUGCAGACUGUCGGCGGUCGACGUCACUGCAAGAACAGACAUGCUAACCAUCCAUGCCAUGGAACAGAAGGAAGAAGAACAGCCUGCACAGAGUAUUUUCCAGAAGAUACUUGAAG